GUUCGUUUUGUGUUCCCUCGCGUCACCUCGUUCCAGCAUUGAUUUCUCCCUCUUGUCUCCACUGCUGCUUUCUGGGUUAACAGGCUGUUGCUCGGCCAGAGAGGACUGCAAAAAACUGUCUAUGGGCUGCCUAAAAGGACGCAAAUAUAAUGCACACUAAUCAAGGAAAACUGCAUCAGCAGCAUCACAUCCAUACUGUUACUCAACGCUUCCAUUCACACGUUGGUUUCAGUCUCGAGCAGAACUCAAGGAGUCUUUUGUGAUGGAGCUCUGAUGGCUGUAACCUGAGGAGAGCAGGAGAGUAUGACAUGGACAAUAACUUCCUUUGUCCGUUUGACUCUUCUGUUUUUCUUCACCAUUGUUUAUCUACCAUCAAUGGCCAUCGUGGUUUUUGAUAGACGCACCCGGAAAAAGACCACUGACCAUAUUUGUGAUUGAUGAUUUAACAGAACUCACGUAAUUUCCCGCUUCUUGUCUAACUGGUUACUGCAUUGGAAAGAUGAAUUUGACAGUAUUUAAGUUGGUUUUACCAGCCCUAAAUGUGUGCACUGUGCAUUUUUCAUCCUGUUGAAGAUCUGGUACAGGUGUCCCCUAAAAGCCACUGGAAACCCAAAUCCCUGAAUAGAAUUUGAACGUUGUCAUUUAGGGUCUUACUGUCAUCAUAGUUUAGCAUCUAAAAUCUAUGAUAAAUGAACACCGGACCAACAAAGAUAUAUUCUUUGCAUGUUUCUUUUACUUUCCUGAUAUUGGGUUUCAAUUGGAUGCUGUUAGGCUCUGAUAUCUGUUCCAAAUUUGUGUCUUAAAUUUGUCAAUCCAGUUAUAGAAAUAAAACAUCCGCUAU